rnacentral:rRNA from 1 species
GACGAACGCUGGCGGCGCGCCUAACACAUGCAAGUCGAACGGAGUUGAGAGGAGCUUGCUUUUCUUGACUUAGUGGCGAACGGGUGAGUAACGCGUGAGGAACCUGCCUCAAAGAGGGGGACAACAGUUGGAAACGACUGCUAAUACCGCAUAAGCCCACGGUUCUGCAUGGAACUGAGGGAAAAGGAGCAAUCCGCUUUGAGAUGGCCUCGCGUCCGAUUAGCUGGUUGGUGAGGUAACGGCCCACCAAGGCGACGAUCGGUAGCCGGACUGAGAGGUUGAACGGCCACAUUGGGACUGAGACACGGCCCAGACUCCUACGGGAGGCAGCAGUGGGGAAUAUUGCACAAUGGGGGAAACCCUGAUGCAGCGACGCCGCGUGGAGGAAGAAGGUCUUCGGAUUGUAAACUCCUGUUGUUGGGGAAAAAGAGGAUGGUACCCAACAAGGAAGUGACGGCUAACUACGUGCCAGCAGCCGCGGUAAAACGUAGGUCACGAGCGUUGUCCGGAAUUACUGGGUGUAAAGGGAGCGCAGGCGGGUAUGCAAGUUGGGAGUGAAAUACAUGGGCUCAACCCAUGAACUGCUCUCAAAACUGUGUAUCUUGAGUAGUGCAGAGGUAGGCGGAAUUCCCGGUGUAGCGGUGGAAUGCGUAGAUAUCGGGAGGAACACCAGUGGCGAAGGCGGCCUACUGGGCACCAACUGACGCUGAGGCUCGAAAGUGUGGGUAGCAAACAGGAUUAGAUACCCUGGUAGUCCACACCGUAAACGAUGAUUACUAGGUGUUGGAGGAUAGACCCCUUCAGUGCCGCAGUUAACACAAUAAGUAAUCCACCUGGGGAGUACGACCGCAAGGUUGAAACUCAAAGGAAUUGACGGGGGCCCGCACAAGCAGUGGAGUAUGUGGUUUAAUUCGACGCGACGCGAAGAACCUUACCAGGUCUUGACAUCUCCUGAAUAGCCUGGAGACAGGUGAAGCCCUACGGGGCAGGAAGACAGGUGGUGCAUGGUUGUCGUCAGCUCGUGUCGUGAGAUGUUGGGUUAAGUCCCGCAACGAGCGCAACCCUUACGAUUAGUUGCUACGCGAGAGCACUCUAAUGGGACUGCCGUUGACAAAACGGAGGAAGGUGGGGAUGACGUCAAAUCAUCAUGCCCCUUAUGACCUGGGCUACACACGUAAUACAAUGGCGGUCAACAGAGGGAAGCGAAACCGCGAGGUGGAGCAAAUCCUCAAAAGCCGUCCCAGUUCGGAUUGCAGGCUGCAACCCGCCUGCAUGAAGUCGGAAUUGCUAGUAAUCGCGGAUCAGCAUGCCGCGGUGAAUACGUUCCCGGGCCUUGUACACACCGCCCGUCACACCAUGGGAGUCGGUAACACCCGAAGUCAGUAGCCUGACCAGCAAUGGGGGGCGCUGCCGAAGGUGGGAUUGAUGACUGGGGUGA